GAAAAAAAGUGGCAUUGUUUUACAUUUUUGCAAACAUUUUAAUGUCUGUUUAGUAGACGACAGCUGGAGUCCCACAUCUGUCUCUGCAUUCAAUUUGUUGUGAUGUUUUGAUUCAAGUAAAUGAAGAAUACCCAGGUUCAUACAGCCUGCACUAAAACCAAAAAGGACUGCGGCAGGAGGAGUUUGGAGAGCUUCCUGGUUGAGGAACACUUGGAGAUUUGGAGAGAGUGCCACACAGAGAGCGUGUGAAAGCUCUGCACCCUUACCCAGUAUCUUCCCCCAAGCAUCUCUUCCAUCUGGCCAUUCCUGAGUUGUAUCUUUUUAUAAUAAACCGGUAAUGUAGUAA